UACGAAGGGGGCUAGCGUUGCUCGGAAUUACUGGGCGUAAAGGGCGCGUAGGCGGAUAUUUAAGUUAGAGGUGAAAGCCCAGGGCUCAACCCUGGAAUAGCCUUUAAUACUGGAUAUCUUGAGUUCGGGAGAGGUGAGUGGAACUCCGAGUGUAGAGGUGAAAUUCGUAGAUAUUCGGAAGAACACCAGUGGCGAAGGCGACUCACUGGCCCGAUACUGACGCUGAGGCGCGAAAGGCGUGGGGAGCAAACAGG
rnacentral:rRNA from 1 species